CAAGACACGAUCGUUUACGGAACGAGAGAGAGAUAGAGGAUGCGAGUGGCGCGUGCAUUCCGAUCUGCAUCUCAAAUGAUCCGAUCGUCAUCCUGCGCUUACAUUCUAAUGAAAUGUUGUACGCGCGUUCGCCCGUAAUGACGCGUUUCUCGGAGUUUCGCGGAGUGGAGGAAAGGGGAUGCGACCGCGGAAAAAUCGGCGUGUGCGUGCGAUCGAGCGCAAUCGGCGACCGAGAGAGUGAAUUGCCGAUGAGGCGGAUAAUGACGGGCGCGCGGAUGGACGGACGGACGGACGAUCCGGGAUCGUGCGGGCGCCUUCGGGAGAAGAAGCCACGGCGACGUGGAAGGUGCGCGGCGGGCCGCCGCGCGUUCGACCGCGCGGCGGCCACCGGCUCUCUCGUUUGAUGCGCCACGAAUGAAAGAUAAUCGCCGCGCUCCGGGCGACGAAGGCGUCCACGCUCGGCGAGCGAGGCACACGCUCCGGCCACGCUCCGUCAUCCCCACCCGCGCCUUCGGGCACCUUCGCAGCGUUCGUUCGUUUGAUGGCCUUGUUUGGCAGCGAGAACGAAGUAACGCGAUCGAUGAAAUCAGAUUCUUCGGCCUUUUUGUGUGAUUCACUUUACGCGCCAGUGGGACAUCGCUGAUUCAGCAGAUCGGUGAGUCAAGUACAUUUCAUAUACAAUUCUUUACUGGAUCAGCUCUGCCUUUCGAUAAGAAAUUUAUCUUAUCGAUGCGCAAAUUUUGCCGUAAGUCCCGCUUAAGAAAUUCAAGCUGUGCGUUAUGAAAACUAAUUUGAUCGCGGCUGCACGAGUCACUUUCCGGUAACGCACUUGGGCUGUUAGGGCGCUCAUUACCCCUGCGCUAAUAUACGGUCUCUUGAUUUUAAUGUCCCUGCCCGUUGGUAACUUUACGAUUUCUUCGUUUUCGUCGGACUUUAUGCGUGUUACGGGUGCGUCGUUGUCUUACCGGUUCGUUAGCGACAGGUUCCACCUUGCGUCUUUUCGCCCGCGAAAGAGAAAGAGGCGAAUUAUCUCGCUCGUCGCCACAUCUGCUUCUGUCUCAUUCGUUAAGAUUUCGCGCUGUACAACCGUCAUACCAUAGAUUUCAGCGAAUAUUUUCAUUACCUUUAUUAUCGUGCAUCUCGACUCGAGCAAAUAAUCGAAAACGCUCCAAGGCAAUUUCCUUGAAAUUUAUAUAGCAAUAUUAUAAAUCAAACAUGUGUUAUAGUAAAAGAAAAAAAAACUUUAAUGUUGCCGUCAAUAGAGUGAAAUUUUUUGUUUUCAGUGUGUGUGUGAGGUAAACAAAAAUUGUUUUAGAAAAAAAAUAUUUUAUCUGUAUAUUUGCCAUUUAUUAUUUACGAGAAUCUAUUGCUUUACGAUUUUGUUGAUUAACUGGAGUUUUUUUAUUGCUACGUUUAUAAAAUGAUGUGAUGCUUUUUUAAUAUUAAUUUAUAGCUAUUAAUUAUACAGGCCGCGUUCUUUAGCCAUCACGGUUUUAUAUAUGCAAGAAUUUUAUGGCACGAAAGAUUACGUUGAGAAUAUUCCGGCGAAACAACAAACUCCGUUAUGUUUACGUGUUUUGGUUGUAACAUGCGCGUUUUUUUUUUUUGCGCGUGCAGCCGCCUCGAGGAGAUUACGCGAGUCCUCAUUUCGCCACGCGCGGUUUCGAGGAAUAUUUUACUCCCUACCUUAAUCUCGGCAAGUCACGUUUUACCACCAUUUACCCGCGUGAUUUCAUACGCAAUUUUUCGUUCGCUCGAAGGCAAACAUAUCGGAAUCUCAAUUCGAUACGCGAUAAAUCGCCCUCUUCAUUUCGCAUGUAUAAACAAGGAUGACAUUCGAUAUCGCGAUGUCAAUUAACAGGACAAAGGCCGGAUAAUUGCGAGUAACUCGCGAGAAGGAGCCAGAGAGUAUCUCGCCGUUACGUUGUGACGCUGGCGCCCGAUCGAGACGUUUCUUCUUCUUUUUUUUUUUUUUCGCGAAGAGAUUUACUGCACGCCACGGUGGACGAACCCGUGCAGGAGAAACCCGGCGGCCACAACGUGCGUGUCCAGCCUCUACGGGGCGACCCGGUCGUUACGACUUCACGCUGACUUUUGCACGCACAAACUUGCGGGGCCACGAGCGUUCGUGCAAAUGAAACGUGCAACGCCACAAGUCGCCUCGCUCGGGCGAGGCGGAGAAGGAGAGCAGGCAGGCAGGCAGGCAGGCGGCAAAACGGAGCGAGUACGAGUUGCCUCGAGCUGAUCCAGUAAAAUUGCGUAGGCAGAUUACUCGAGUUGUUACCCCUGCCCAUUACUCGCGCGCGCGUAGCACUUCGAACGGUCGACCGACCAGAAAUCAAGGCUCGAUCGCGAGAUUCCUCGGCUUUCACUCGGCGUCCCUGGACGAUAGUAAUUUCUUUCCGAUCGGUUCCCCCGUUCGAGGGCACCGAAUAUUUUGAUUACCGUACGCCCCGUUCCCCGUAAUGAAACGUUUGCGAUCGCGCGAUGUGAACAAGUUUGCGCGAGGAAUGCUCGAGGAAUGCUCGUUACACGAUGUUGGGUAUAAUCAGUUUGUUAUUUUUCAACAUUUCUCUCUUAUCGAGAGUGCAGAUGAUACGGUUACCGUGAUAAACGUGAUUAACGAGCUGAUAUUUUUGCAAUCGUACAACUGCUUUUCAGUCGAACGUUUUUAUUGCCAGGCUGUUGUUGGGAGAGACAGCGGCGCGGCCCAACCGCGAGUUGUUGCUUGCCCGUCGGUCUUGCAUGCGUUUCGUAACGCACCGCACGCUCUCGCUCGCCCGCAAAUCCCCCGAAAAUAUCGCAACUCACGUUUCAGGAAAACGUGAUCGAGAAACGCGCGCUUUCUCCCAACAGGUGGUCCCAGCUUUGCAAAGCGCGGCUGCGACGGCUUUCCCGGGUUUGCCCCUCGACACGGGGGUCCAUACCGCUCCGAGAGACUUUUAUCCUUUGUAAUCUCGGCGAGGCGGCAUCCUCCGGGAUUAAGAGUAGGCUCCGGUCGAGAUCGUGCUGACGCCGGGCACGCGCUGCAUGCUGCGAAAUAACGGUACCGGAGCACCGCUCGGACCGCCCGUCCGAGAUUUUAAAUCUCUCCUUCCCCCCUUCCCCCCCCCACCCCCCGCUACGUUGGCAUAACCGCGCGCCGUAUGGCGACCAGCAAAAGCGGAAAGAGACGAGGGAGGAAUUCCGCCGCGCCUCCUCGGAACAGAUUGUCAUCUGCAGGUGGACCAGCGCGGCAUGACGCUGGUGAAAAAGUGGCGCGGCGGUUAAUCGCCGCGGCGAAUUCGCGGAAGAAGUCGCACGAUCUCGAGAGAAAAUCUCGGGUUAGCGAAGAUUGCUCUUGAACAAAAGCGGCAUGGAUGCUUCUUAGGUGGAUUUUAGCUGGCUUCUGCAUAGGAAUUUUACAUUCCUUCUGACAUUCUCGGUUUUCGCAGCUUUUUUGAAACUUUCGAAAUUCUUUUCGUCAAAUUUGUUUAGAACGUGGAAAGAUGAGGGAAAGAAGAUUUCUUGUGUUUAUUGUGCUUUCGCGGAUCACAAGUAGAACUGAUGUACAAAUGCUUCACCCAUCAUUAAAUUUUUGAACCAAGUUAAACAUUUUAAUGACCAUCUUAUCGAUAAAGUUUUAUAAUAAGUACUCUGCCACCUAUUUCAUACGCAGAUAAUAAAACUUAACGAAGAGUUUACAAUCUUGUUAAUUAAAAAUUACCACGUAUAAAUAAUUUUCGUUUCAGACUUUUUUUUAAUACUCGUGCGAUAACUCAAGUGAUGAGGAACAAACAGGUUGCGCGCCCGUAUAAUGUCCCGCGGCGAAAAUUUCGCUUAAUUUACGAGAAAUUGCAUGUUUUCUUUUUUAAUUAGCGGCCUUACGCAAGCGUCAAUGCGUGUCAUUCGCGAUAAUUAAACGUAAUUGCCGAAUUACACUGUUGAUCAGCGCCGAUUUAAAGGACACGUGUUUAAUUGCGAUCCAGGUGCUGCUACAGCGUUUUAUUGCAGAAGAAUCGUUGAUUUUUUUUUUCAAAAUUAUUUAAUGGUUUAUUUUUAUGGCUCAUAACUAUUUGUGCAUAAAUUAAUCUAUAAAUUAGUUUAACUAAUUUAAAUAUUGACUGAAAAAAUAACUUAAUAAAAUGUAAAUUAUAUAAAUAAUUCCAACUUGGAGUUAUCUGGUUAAUUCUUGAAGUGAAGUUUUUUGAUUUCUAUUGAAAAGUUUAGACCCGUAAAGCCGCUGCGUGUUUCGACCCACUUUGGGCUCGAUAAAUCUUGACCGCAUUGUGGGAUCUGCCUGCCAGGGCGCGACGAACGGUGUAUCUUGAUGGGUGCAAUUAUCCAAGGACGAACGAGGAAGCGGCAGGUGAUCCUUGCCCGUAGAAGGUAUUAGCAGAUAUACCGAUUUCGUCAGGCCUGUCUCGAGACCGGUAAAAACCUAAACUAGCAAAUGCCUAGGAUCUUAGGAUGUCGGCCGACGUUUGUACCUCUCGCCGAUCCAUCUGCGCCAUUUUCGGCAGGUGAAACGGAAUAUCGCGAAAUGCGAGAGGAGAAAAAGGAUUCGGCCAUUCGUAGUCGACGGACCGAGACGAAUUUCGCGGCGAGACUCUCUAGCGGGGGUUUCGUCCAAACCGCAGGUCCAGGUCAAUAUAUUUUUUUGGCGUUUGAUAGGUUUAAAUAGAGGAAUAGGAUAGAGGUGGUUUUGGCAAUUUCGCCGAAAUGCUAAUCUCACGCGAAAAUGAUCGAAAAGGUAAACUAGUAAUUUUUAUAUUUAUUUUAACGUCUUCGUUCUUUUUCACGUUUCGUAUUUUAGACGUCGAACGUAGCGCACGAAAUGCAUUCGUAUUUAUAUCCAUGAUAAAAAAAUAAUAAGGAUGGAUGAGGAAAUCGGUUAUAAAUUGGUUACAUUAUAAUUGUGUGUAUGUGCGCGCGCGCGUGUGUGUAAGUGUGUGUAUGACAGAUGAAUAACAUGUAGCAUCGAGUGUCAAAUAAAUAUUAUCACGAGCAUUCACGUUAAUUCGUGCCGCUGCCACUUUAUCAGCAUGCUUUACGAGCUCACCGCCGACUGGACUAGUUACACUAGUCGGUUUGUUCCUAUCGCAUGUGGAACUGGAGCAGGUACACGCUCAGUCGCGAAUGCUUUAUAUAUUAUAGCGGCAAGUGCCCCAUUAAGGAUAAUUCUUGAAACUAGCUCUCUGCAUACUCUCGCGUUGUUGCGUGCCCGCGAUCCUCCCAUUAUUGGCGGAUCGUCCGCGGGACGUUAAAUGAAUCAGCAGCCAACGACCGUUUGACGUUUCGUAUCCGCGUCUCUGGCAGACCCGACGGGGAUUUCGCGGGGAUUACGUCUCUCGGCCCUCGGGGUACCAAUUUUAGCUCUUUACGCGCCCCGGUGUCAUUAUACGGAAUACAUUGCGCCGCGCGAAAUCUUAAUUGGCAAUUACGAUAAUGCGGCUGCUCUAAUUUGUUGCAAAUUGCUUCGAGGUUACUGAGAGACCGAUCUAUUUCGAACACUUCAACAGGCCUGCCAUUUAUCUCUCGCAACAAAAAUCGCACGUACACGUAUCAGCUGCACAUUUGAUACAUCAGCAAUUUAUUUCCUUUCUUUUUCUUUUUUCAAUUAUUUAAUUUUGUUUCACUCUACCUCGGAAUCGUCUGAAGUGAAAUUGUCUAAAAUGUUUUCAUGCGAUGCGCUCGCGAGUACGAAUCAUGAAAGCGCAGGUACUACACAGCCGGAACAUUUGUGAGAAUCACGCUGUAAUGGGACGACAAAGAGGCACGUCAGAAUAAUUGCCGUUCUUGCCUCUUACAUUGCCCUACCUUUCAUCCGCUAUCGGGCGGAUCGCCGCGCGUGAAUACUUUGUAAGUGGUCUGUGGCGGAAUUAAAGGAGACUCGCGUUAGUACCAAUAAUUUACACGCUGUGCGGGUCUCUUUACGGCGGGUGCGACGAGGAAAAAAAAACGAGAGGAACGACGGCGCGCAAUCUCUCUUAACGUUCAGUUACAAAUUACAUUACCUUGGCAAAUGGGCUAUUACGCGAAUUCUCAAUCUAGUUCCGCGUCUCAAUUAUUUGCACGGGCAGGUUCGCGGCUUCUGGAAGGUUGUUCCCCGACCGGGCGAAUAUAAACGCCUUUCAAUCUGUUUGCACUUUUCUUACGGGCGCAUCAUGGAUAGCCGCCUUUUUAAUUUUACGUAAUCAACGUGACGGUGCAAUCUCGCGACGAUGCAGCGGACGUUUCGCUGUCUGCGGAGAAGGCAUUUCAAUAACAAUCGCGAGAAAAAGUCCUCGCGGCUCUCUCGCCUUCCUCUCCUUCGAUUUCUUUCCUUCUUUCUUUUUGUUUCUUCGUCAGGUGACGAUAGUCACCGCGUGACUGUCUCAAAAUGAAUCGUACCGUGAAAUCGCGAAGGAUUACGCUUGCAAUUUUUGAUUUGCAAAAUUGUUCACACUUUCUUUCCUUUCGGUUGACAAACGCAGAAACGCAGACUUUUUCGUUAUUUGAAAACUAUUCUAACACACACAGAUUGCAUUACGUCAGCAAAUAGUCCAUUACGUAGUUAUUGACUCCAGUUUGCGUGCGCGGACGCAUUUAUUAUAAAAGAUUAGCGGUAGCUCAAGGUUCUUUUCCCGGGAUUUUGUUACAUAAGUAUCAACGAGAAUAGAAUCAAAUACACAACCGUACUUAUUGUGCGUGAAAUUUUAAGAACAGAAUACUCCAAAUGUCUUCAAGAAACGUUAUAUUUUUGGUAUACAGAGUUUUCCGGAAAUAUAAGUAGAAUAUUACGCGCAUUGUAUACUCUGCAAAACGUUUAAGAAAAACAUACUAUACAUUAUUCAUUCGCGCUUAAAAUGAUUCGCUUCCGGAUUUUAUCGCGCGUAUUCUUAUUGAUCCUAAACAUGUUCUCGAGGCUACCUCCUUCGGUCUGUUCGUUCAUUCGUUCGUUCGUCCGUUCGUUCCGACGUCAAUUACGAUCGUGUUAAGUGUGCCAUUACGCAAUUAUAUUCUAAUGUACUUUUAUUACGCGCGGAUAGUCUGCUAACAUUCAAAACGUUUCGUUCGACGAUUUCUGCCUGGUCCCGCAGGCAAGCGAACUUUUUUUCAAUAUCUCGAACUCACACCUGCCGUCCGCCUGAUGAGUCUGAACUCUUAGCUGAGCCCUCAAGGACUAGGAAUAGUCACGACUUUUUUUGCACCGUCGGCCAAUACGUUUUGCAGGCUCCUGAGUGUCAUCUGCGCGGAAUCUUAAUUCAUUUCUAUCCGCCUUGUCGUCCGCCGGGGGACCGAAUGAUCGAACGGCGGUCGUGACUACCAUUUUUUUUCUCGCAACACGUUCUCUUUAGAAUUUACAUUGCUUUUAUUAUAAUAUUUCUCGUUUAUACGGAUUUUCUUCUGCGUGUGUGCGAUUUAAAGGGACGAGCCUUCUAUCUGAUGUAGUCAUUAUUGUGUAGAUUUGGGGUUUAUCAAAUUAUCAUUACUAUUAUAAAAUAUAAAGGAGACGUAGACUCACGUCGACCUUGCGUUUACACGAAAAAACGUCGGCAACAAUGACUGACGAUAAUCAUUUUCUUCAGACUGGACUGUCGAUUCUUGCCUGCAGACUGAUCGUUCGUCCCAAAAACAUUCCCUUUUUUUUCCAAGACCUUCCGAGGUUUCGUUGCAAAAGAUCGGCGAUAGAUUUAAUACGAAAAA